rnacentral:rRNA from 1 species
UACGUAGGGGGCUAGCGUUGUCCGGAAUUACUGGGCGUAAAGCGCACGUAGGCGGCUUUGUAAGUUAGAGGUGAAAGCCUGGUGCUCAACACCAGAACUGCCUUUAAGACUGCAUCGCUUGAAUCAUGGAGAGGCGGGUGGAAUUCCGAGUGUAGAGGUGAAAUUCGUAGAUAUUCGGAAGAACACCAGUGGCGAAGACGGCCCGCUGGACAUGUAUUGACGCUGAGGUGCGAAAGCGUGGGGAGCAAACAGG